GAUUAAGCUACAAAGAGCGUAUGGUGGAUGCCUUGGCACUAGGCGCCGACGAAGGACGUGAUAAGCUGCGAAAAGCUGCGGUAAGUUGCAAAUGAACUAUGACCCGCAGAUGUCCGAAUGCGGAAACGCACUAACUGUAAUGAGUUAGUAUCAUAACAUGAAUAAAAUAAUGUUAUGAGGGGAACCCAGGGAACUGAAACAUCUAAGUACCUGGAGGAAAAGAAAGUAAAACAACGAUUGCGAAAGUAGUGGCGAGCGAAAUUGCAAGAGCCCAAACCUAAGGCAGAAAUGGCUUAGGGGUUCGGACCCCAAUGUGGUAUUAAAAUUGGUAGGUGAACACAACUGGAAAGUUGGACGAAACAGAGUUAUAGUCUCGUAACCGAAACCGAAAUUAAACCUAGGGUGUUCCAGAGUAGCACAGGACACGUGGAAUCCGGUGUGAAUGUGGGAGGACCAUCUCCUAAGGCUAAAUACGACCUAGUGACCGAUAGCGUAUAGUACCGUGAGGGAAAGGUGAAAAGAACCCCGAGAGGGGAGUGAAAUAGAAUCUGAAACCGUAUGCUUACAAGCA
rnacentral:rRNA from 1 species